UGGCGAACGGGUUAGUAACGCGUGGGAACAUACACAGCACAGGGGGAUAACCAUUGGAAACGAUGGCUAAUACCGCAUACGCCCUAUUGGGGAAAGAUUUAUCGGUGUUGGAUUGGCCCGCGUUAGAUUAGCUAGUUGGUGGGGUAAUGGCUCACCAAGGCGACGAUUUAUAGCUGGUUUGAGAGGAUGAUCAGCAACACUGGAACUGAGACACGGUCCAGACUCCUACGGGAGGCAGCAGUCGGGAAUAUUGUGCAAUGGGGGCAACCCUGACACAGCCAUGCCGCGUGAGUGAAGAAGGCCUUAGGGUUGUAAAGCUCUUUCAGAUGUGAGGAUGAUGACGAUAGCAUCAGAAGAAGCUCCGGCUAACUUCGUGCCAGCAGCCGCGGUAAUACGAAGGGAGCUAGCGUUGUUCGGAAUUACUGGGCGUAAAGGGCGUGUAGGCGGAUUAUCAAGUUAGGGGUGAAAUCCCGGGGCUCAACCUCGGCACUGCCUUUAAGACUGAUAAUCUAGAGUAUGUGAGGGGAUAAUGGAAUACCUAGUGUAGAGGUGA
rnacentral:rRNA from 1 species